AGCUAGUUGGUAAGGUAACGGCUUACCAAGGCAAUGAUGCAUAGCCGAGUUGAGAGACUGAUCGGCCACAUUGGGACUGAGACACGGCCCAAACUCCUACGGGAGGCAGCAGUAGGGAAUCUUCCACAAUGGACGCAAGUCUGAUGGAGCAACGCCGCGUGAGUGAAGAAGGGUUUCGGCUCGUAAAGCUCUGUUGGUAGUGAAGAAAGAUAGAGGUAGUAACUGGCCUUUAUUUGACGGUAAUUACCUAGAAAGUCACGGCUAACUACGUGCCAGCAGCCGCGGUAAUACGUAGGUGGCAAGCGUUGUCCGGAUUUAUUGGGCGUAAAGCGAGUGCAGGCGGUUCAAUAAGUCUGAUGUGAAAGCCUUCGGCUCAACCGGAGAAUUGCAUCAGAAACUGUUGAACUUGAGUGCAGAAGAGGAGAGUGGAACUCCAUGUGUAGCGGUGGAAUGCGUAGAUAUAUGGAAGAACACCAGUGGCGAAGGCGGCUCUCUGGUCUGCAACUGACGCUGAGGCUCGAAAGCAUGGGUAGCGAACAGGAUUAGAUACCCUGGUAGUCCAUGCCGU
rnacentral:rRNA from 1 species